GGGUGACAUAAUAAGAAAAAAAAGAAACGUACAAUAACAAUACGUCACCCCAACUCCGUUGAGGGUGCCAUAACUAGAUUUGUAAUUGCUAGCAAUAACGGAUGGCACCCUUCCCCCAUUGCCAGGUGAGCGGCAGCCAUUUUGAAAAUUCCAAAGUCAAAUAGUGCAUCUACAGAUGUCUAGUAACAUUUUUGCAAAGUUUCAUUAAGUUUGAAGCAUUUUGAAAUUUUGGAUAAUUUUGCUUUUCCAUGGUAACGGCGGCCAUUUUGAAAAUUCCAAACUCAAAAGUCAAGUCUACAUAAGCUAGGCAACAUUUGUUAUAAGUUUCCUUAAAUUUGAAGCAUUUUGAAGUUUUUCAUAUUUUUGCUGUUUCCAUGGUAACGGCGGCCAUUUUGAAUAUUCCAAAGUCAAACCCCCGCUGCAAUUUUUUGCCCUCCAUAAACAUAUACCAUUUAAUGUCUCUAGAAUAAAUUUAACAUUGAUGUUCUGGAAUGUUCUGUGAAAAUUCAAAGUUUUGACCUUUUUGCAUUGUUUCCAUGGUAAAA
rnacentral:lncRNA from 1 species